rnacentral:rRNA from 1 species
UUGGACAAUGGGCGCAAGCCUGAUCCAGCCAUGCCGCGUGAGUGAUGAAGGCCCUAGGGUUGUAAAGCUCUUUCACCGGUGAAGAUAAUGACGGUAACCGGAGAAGAAGCCCCGGCUAACUUCGUGCCAGCAGCCGCGGUAAUACGAAGGGGGCGAGCGUUGUUCGGAUUUACUGGGCGUAAAGCGCACGUAGGCGGACUUUUAAGUCAGGGGUGAAAUCCCGGGGCUCAACCCCGGAACUGCCUUUGAUACUGGAAGUCUUGAGUAUGGUACAGGUGAGUGGAAUUCCGAGUGUACAGGUGAAAUUCGUAGAUAUUCGGAGGAACACCAGUGGCGAAGGCGGCUCACUGGACCAUUACUGACGCUGAGGUGCGAAAGCGUGGGGAGCAAACAGGAUUAUUACCCUGGGAGUCCACGCCGUAAACCAUGAAUGUUAGCCGUUGGGGAACUUACUCUUCGGUGGCGCAGCUAACGCAUUAAACAUUCCGCCUGGGGAGUACGGUCGCAAGAUUGAAACUC